GUCAGGACCUCACAGUGAACUUAGCAUUUGUCAUUCAUGGGGGCAGGGACUUUGCUGGUGUGCAGGUAAGGGAGGCUGUGGCCCUACACCACGGCACAAGCCAUCUGAUCUCCAAAUAGGUAAGUGAUUAUGGUGUCUCUAAGAGUUAUCAUGAUUUCUUUGCAAGUAUUCAGGUUGGAAUUGAUAGUCCUUACCAAUUCUGGAAAUGUUGAGGUUUUUACUUUUUGUAUUUUAGAAAAGGUGUUUGUUUAACCCUGUGAGUGUUGGGGGAUUGCCAUAUCCAUAUCAUGAUGUUCCCAACCUUGGUAGUAACCAUGGGAAUUUUGCAGGUGUCCUCUAAAGAAAUGUUGUCUUACCUAACCACAAUGGCCUUGACCUUGGAGUACUGCAAGCAUUGAGGUACAGUUGACGUUCUCCUAAUAGUGGAAGUGACCAAAGUUAUUUGCAGGUGUUCUGUUUACAGCAAGUCAUAUCCCUUUACACAUAUAUCAUCAUAUUAUUUUGUCAGGUUUCUUCAAGAUCAUGAAGCACUUAACAGUGGUCAUUAAUGGGGGACAUUUCUUAUAUCCAGUUUGCGGGUGUUCCUGUAAUGAUCAUGGAGCCGUCCAUCACACUAGAAACUAUGGUAUUUUUGCUGAUAACCAUUCAAGAGACGGUGGUGUUUCUAACAGUGGUGUAGGUGGUGGAGCACUGCAAAAUCCAGGUUGCUGUCAAGAAAUCAUGGUAAGCCUCACCAUGACUGUUAACAGAACUUUGGUUGCAUCCAGGUAAGUGAUGAUAUGAGCCUAAAGCAUCUUACAAACAAUCUGAUCUUCAAAUACUUAGAUUAGUGUGGAUGGUCUUAACAUUUGCGAUAGCAUGUUUUUCUGCAUGUGUCCAGUUAAGAAAUGAAACUGUUCCAACUGAUAUUAGUCGUAACCAUUAGCCCUUAGUACUAUAAAGUUUCUAUUCAAUGGGCAUUUAAACUUAGUAGUGAUGGAGGCAGAUACAGGUGUCUAGGGAAGGUACCCUACUGUUCCACCCCACAUUAUUGUCCAUGAGAUCCCUACAGAUACUCAAGAAGGUGAUGUCUCUCAUAAUGGUGUUAAUCUUGAAGUUCUGCCAAUAUCCAGGUAGUGAUGAUGGUUUCCAAUAAUGGCAGUAACCAAAAUUAUUUGUAAGUAUAUUUUCCCCCCCAGGUAAAGUAAGUUGUAUCCUUCAACACACUUGUUGUAUUUUUUAAGGUUCCAGCCAUUAUGACAUCACAGUGAAACAAAUGAUGGUCCUUGACGGGACCUUGCCAGUAACCAGUUAUGUGAUAGACUGGUUUUACCAAAACAUAGAUCCAGCUGAUCUUUGGGUAUUUAGGUGAGUGAGGAUGGUGUCCCUAACACAGUGUUACUGUGCUUUUUGCUGGGAUCCCAUUAAGUUCUUUGCUAGUAUAAAAACAUGAGAUGACGCGACAAUAAAUCAUUAGAGAUUUCUUAUCUUCAGAUACAUAAGCAAUUAAUGUUUUCUAGACCUUUAUAUUAAUCUUCUUGGCAUACGAACUGUUCAGAAAUCAAUUUGUCCCUAACAAUACUAGCCUGAGCUUUUACUGUCUCCUUGUUCAGAGAUAACAUGUGUUUAUACGCCCAUACCAAUCGACCUAUAUAGUCCGUUAUCCAGGUAAUUUAUCAUAUGUUCCAUAUUUGUGAUAAUGACUGUGGUAUCUUUGCAGGUAUCCCCUCAAGAGAUGAAGGUAAAUCUAACUACAGUUUAACCUUUUGAGUUCUACAUAUUGCCCAGUAAUGUGGAAAGGGGCCACAAAAUAAUGCACUGACCAAGAGAACUUGCAGUUACCCAGGUCGAAUAAAAUGUGUGUGGAACAAGUUUUCUAUGCUGUGUUUUCAGGUUCAUGUUAAGACAUCAGUCACCGUACAGGAAGUGCACAGCAGGUACGGAGGUAAGUGAGGAUGACCCACAGUGCAGAACAUCUGCUCCUGUAUGUAAUGUAGGUAAGGGAUGGUGUCUAAUACCUCUCGUUACUAUGAUUUCAUUGCAGGUAUCCAGGUAAGAAAUGAUAGUCCUUACCAAAUCUAGUGACCAUGACUUUACACUUUUUACAUUUUAGAGAUAACAUGUUUAACCCUGUGAGUGUUGAGAGUUGACCGUAUCCGUAAUUGUCAAGUUCCCACUCCAGUCGUGACUACAGUGUUUUUGCAGGAAUCCAGUUAAGACACGAUGGCUUUCUUCUGACCAAGGUGUUGACCUGAAUUAAUGCAAGUGUCAGGGUAGAAUCAGUGUGUUAUGUGUUCCGUAAUAAUGGAAGUGAAAAGGAUUAUUAUCAGGUGUUCUGGUAGAAGAAGUCGUGUCCUUAAACACACUUUUCCUGUGUGUUUCUUCAGUUUCCUUUCAAGAAAACAUAGUCAGCCUAACAAUGGUUGUUAACAGAACCUUGCCCUUGACCAGGUACAUGAUAAAAGUGAAUCUGGUCCCACUGCAAACCAUCUGAUCUUCAGCAUGAAGCAGGUAUCCUUUCAAGAGAAGUAGAUGUCCCUUCCCAGGAUUUGACCUUGGAGUUCUGCAAGUCAAAGUAUCCAGGUUAAUAUCAAGACCUCACAGUGGAGUUUAUCAGGAAUAGUGUGGGACACUGCUGGUAUGGGGGUAAGUGAUCCUGUGGGUCGAAACCACAGCAUAUGCCAUCUGGCCUUUGGGUACCUAAGUAAGUGAUGAGUGUCCUUACAUUCCUUGUUACCAUGAAUUUUUUUUUUUUUUUUUUGAAGGUGUGAGGUAAGGAAUGAUAGAGUCCUCACCAGCUCCAGAGACCAUAUUUCUCCACUUUUCUGUAUUUCUGGAAAUGUUCAUUUUUAACCCUAUGAGUGUUGAGGGACUGCUAUACACAGGUCUUUAUCAUGAUACUCUCUGUGGUAGUAUUCUCCAUAGGAUACUUACAGGUGACCAGUCAUAGAAUGACCGUUUUAUCUGUAUUAACUUUGGAUUAUUUUAAGUAUCCCAUAGAGCUGAUGUGUCUCGUAAUGAUGAAGUGAAUGUUAUUUGUAGGUUUCCUGAUAGGAAAAAGUCAUGUCCUUUAAACACACAUUCACAGUGUCUUUCCAGUUAAGAAGUCAUGGUGAACCUGACACUGCUCUUCCCCGGGAAUGUUCCUGGUAUGCAGGUAAGUGAUGAUGUGGGCCUCACCCAGACCUUCUACUCUCCAUAUAGCUGGCUAAGUGAUUACAUUUGUAAUCAGUUGUUACCAUUUUUCUUUGCAGGUAUUCAGCUAGGAAAUGAUAGUCCUUAUCAGUUCUAGAAACCAAGUACUUUUUUUUCUUUCUACAUUUUAGAGAAACUUUUUUUAAAAGAU